GAAAAGCCAAAGCAGUAGAGAGGAAAGGGCAUGAAAAAAGGAAAAGAAAUUUACUGCUGGGUGCUUGGUUUACAGUUACUGCUAAUUUUUUUCUGAUAAUUACUUUGGUAGGAUUGAUUACCUUGAGAAGAACAAGAUGGUAAUGCUAGAAGAUUUAGUUAUUUAUCAAAAUCAAUAAACUUACUAUAAGCACUCUCUCUGUUGUCUGCACUUUAACUUGAAUAAAGUUUAUGACGUAGUAAAGAUUUUGUUUAUAUACAUAUAUGUAUAUAUUUAUGUAAAUUCAACUGCCUUAUGACUCAUAUUUAAUAUUGGAACUCAUAUCAUUCUUCCUAUCAAGUGUUCAGAAUUCAAUUUCUUUUAUCUUUCAUCUUACAAAUUAAGAGGAAGCUGCCGAAAGUUAAUCGGGCUCUGGCAGCCCGAUUUCUUGAGGAGGAGGAAGAGCUGAAUAAGAUUUAAGGAGGUGAUGAUGCAGAUGUUCAGAAAACAUCAAAGAAAAAGAAAGGUCUCACGAGUGAUGUUCUCAAGGAUGAGAGGUUUACAGCUAUGUUUGAAAACAAGGUAUUUCAUAGAGGUUCUGUUUAUCCAAAAAACUUGCUUUUCUUGAUUGUUGCUGUUAGUUAUGAUCAACCAUGUAGUACCUUGUUCCCAGGGAUUUGUGAAAUAGUUGGAACUUUAAUAACCUCCGGACUGUAAGUAAUAUAGAGACAUGUCAAAAUGCACAAGAAAUGAUAAUCAUUAUAUAUAUCUUUAGCGCAAAAAAAUCAAUUUUGACAGCAAUGAGAUACAGAUAUCUCGGCUGGUCACGGGCUUGAGUAUUAACCACCUUUAUCCUCCGAAAUUUAGGCUUCAUCAUUGGGAUAUCUCUCAAAUUAGCGUGACAACCUUUUGAAUAGUACACGAAUGUAUUGGGUGGAUUUUGUUUGAUAAAUGAGUGUAGAAAGAUUCAUUAAUGAUGAUGGCGUCACUGUUGGAAUCGUCCUGACAACCUAUGUAUUGGAAUUUGUUUACGUCCAAACAACAACCAAAUUAUGUAUCAUUUCUUGACACCACUUGCAUGACUUUAAGAUUGAUGAAUUCUCAAACAAACACCUAGCUUUGCACCCAAUGCCAUCAACAACAAGAAAAGGCAUCUUUGCUGGAGGAGCAUUUUGAAGUUGUUGAAGAAGAGGAUGAAAAGGCUAUUGGUCCUGCUGAUGCAUCAUCAGCGAGUGAUUUGUGAGAAGAUGACCAUGAAAACAUAAAGGCCAAAUCCAAGAAGAAAGUACAAGCUCCUAGAUUUUUCGAAGUGAAGGAUAAAUGGCAAAAGAAGGUUUUUCUAAAAACCCCUCAAAAACAGAGAG